rnacentral:misc_RNA from 1 species
ACAAACUUGGUCAUUUAGAGGAAGUAAAAGUCGUAACAAGGUUUCCGUAGGUAAGUGAAAGCUUUCCACCCUUACACCCCCUUACUAUGCUUGAAUAAUGUGCUGACUUUUCCUUUUUUAGGUGAACCUGCGGAAGGAUCAUUACAGAGUGUUUUACCCCCCCGUAAAAAGGGGGGUUAACCUCCCCGUCCUUUGCUGAGCCCCCUUCUUUAGAGGGCUUUUCAAAAUCUUCUGCUUCGGCGGGGUUUACCCGCCGGAACACCCUUCAAAAUUCUUGAUUUAAAAACCUUCUGUCCGAGAAGCUUUUUGAGAAUUAUUUGAAAACUUUCAACAACGGAUCUCUUGGUUCUGGCAUCGAUGAAGAACGCAGC